UACAUUUGAUUAUAAUUCAUAGAGAUGUUCAUAUAUAGUAAAUAAAUAAUAAUACAUAGCAGGCACAUUGGCUCAGGCAACAGAACACAGACUGGUAUACAUUUGAUUAUAAUUCAUAGAGAUGUUCAUAUAUAGUAAAUAAAUAAUAAUACAUAGCAGGCACACUUGGCUCAGGCAACAGAACACAGACUGGUAUACAUGUGAUUAUAAUUCAUAGAGAUGUUCAUAUAUAGUAAAUAAAUAAUAAUACAUAGCAGCUAUAUAAGUACAGUCCAUUUACCAUUUACUGGUAUACAUUUGAUUAUAAUUCAUAGACACUUGGCUCAGGUAACUGCAUCACACUCUGCUAGGCUUGGAACUCACCACAGAAGUAGGUCUCCUCCUAAAAAUGCAAUUAUUUCUCAACUAUCUUUUGUACAUUUAGGUGUACAUGUGAAAAAUGUACAAUCAUGGAAACAAUUGAAGAGUGCCAAUGCUGCCAAGAAAAGGAUGUCAUGGUGGCCAAAAUGGAGGAAUUCAAUGAAUAUGAGGGAGAUGGUGCAAACAUAACCUGCGUAAUAGAUCACCCAGGAUUCCAAUCAAAUUGUCUGGAUGUUUGGGUGUUGCAGACAGCCUACCAUCAUUAUUCAAAGAGGGACAGACAAAAAGCAGGUGAUCAGCCACGUAAUGAAAUGUAUCGCUAUGUGGCAUACCGCCAGCUAGUGAGAUUUUGCUGGGGAAUACUUGGUAAGAACCACAGAAUCCCACUGCCAUCAUGUGCCAUUAAAAAGAUCCAGGCGACGUUUCCAUCUGACAUCUACACGUCGUUCAAGUAUCCAGCACUUGAUUAGAGUCAAUAACAAAACUGAUUGUCAGUUCAGUGAUUAAAUCUGCUUCUAAACAGCG